rnacentral:rRNA from 1 species
CCAGCAUGAGUUAUGUCAUGUUAUCGAUAUGUGAAUACAUAGCAUAUCAGAAGGCACACCCGGAGAACUGAAACAUCUUAGUACCCGGAGGAAGAGAAAGAAAAUUCGAUUCCCUUAGUAGCGGCGAGCGAAACGGGAAGAGCCCAAACCAACAAGCUUGCUUGUUGGGGUUGUAGGACACUCUAUACGGAGUUACAAAGGACGACAUUAGACGAAUCAUCUGGAAAGAUGAAUCAAAGAAGGUAAUAAUCCUGUAGUCGAAAAUGUUGUCUCUCUUGAGUGGAUCCUGAGUACGACGGAGCACGUGAAAUUCCGUCGGAAUCUGGGAGGACCAUCUCCUAAGGCUAAAUACUCUCUAGUGACCGAUAGUGAACCAGUACCGUGAGGGAAAGGUGAAAAGCACCCCGGAAGGGGAGUGAAAUAGAACCUGAAACCGUGUGCUUACAAGUAGUCAGAGCCCGUUAAUGGGUGAUGGCGUGCCUUUUGUAGAAUGAACCGGCGAGUUACGAUUUGAUGCAAGGUUAAGCAGUAAAUGUGGAGCCGUAGCGAAAGCGAGUCUGAAUAGGGCGUUUAGUAUUUGGUCGUAGACCCGAAACCAGGUGAUCUACCCUUGGUCAGGUUGAAGUUCAGGUAACACUGAAUGGAGGACCGAACCGACUUACGUUGAAAAGUGAGCGGAUGAACUGAGGGUAGCGGAGAAAUUCCAAUCGAACCUGGAGAUAGCUGGUUCUCUCCGAAAUAGCUUUAGGGCUAGCCUCAAGUGAUGAUUAUUGGAGGUAGAGCACUGUUUGGACGAGGGGCCCCUCUCGGGUUACCGAAUUCAGACAAACUCCGAAUGCCAAUUAAUUUAACUUGGGAGUCAGAACAUGGGUGAUAAGGUCCGUGUUCGAAAGGGAAACAGCCCAUACCACCAGCUAAGGUCCCAAAAUAUAUGUUAAGUGGAAAAGGAUGUGGCGUUGCCCAGACAACUAGGAUGUUGGCUUAGAAGCAGCCAUCAUUUAAAGAGUGCGUAAUAGCUCACUAGUCGAGUGACACUGCGCCGAAAAUGUACCGGGGCUAAACAUAUUACCGAAGCUGUGGAUUGUCCUUUGGACAAUGGUAGGAGAGCGUUCUAAGGGCGUUGAAGCAUGAUCGUAAGGACAUGUGGAGCGCUUAGAAGUGAGAAUGCCGGUGUGAGUAGCGAAAGACGGGUGAGAAUCCCGUCCACCGAUUGACUAAGGUUUCCAGAGGAAGGCUCGUCCGCUCUGGGUUAGUCGGGUCCUAAGCUGAGGCCGACAGGCGUAGGCGAUGGAUAACAGGUUGAUAUUCCUGUACCACCUAUAAUCGUUUUAAUCGAUGGGGGGACGCAGUAGGAUAGGCGAAGCGUGCGAUUGGAUUGCACGUCUAAGCAGUAAGGCUGAGUAUUAGGCAAAUCCGGUACUCGUUAAGGCUGAGCUGUGAUGGGGAGAAGACAUUGUGUCUUCGAGUCGUUGAUUUCACACUGCCGAGAAAAGCCUCUAGAUAGAAAAUAGGUGCCCGUACCGCAAACCGACACAGGUAGUCAAGAUGAGAAUUCUAAGGUGAGCGAGCGAACUCUCGUUAAGGAACUCGGCAAAAUGACCCCGUAACUUCGGGAGAAGGGGUGCUCUUUAGGGUUAACGCCCAGAAGAGCCGCAGUGAAUAGGCCCAAGCGACUGUUUAUCAAAAACACAGGUCUCUGCUAAACCGUAAGGUGAUGUAUAGGGGCUGACGCCUGCCCGGUGCUGGAAGGUUAAGAGGAGUGGUUAGCUUCUGCGAAGCUACGAAUCGAAGCCCCAGUAAACGGCGGCCGUAACUAUAACGGUCCUAAGGUAGCGAAAUUCCUUGUCGGGUAAGUUCCGACCCGCACGAAAGGCGUAACGAUUUGGGCACUGUCUCAACGAGAGACUCGGUGAAAUCAUAGUACCUGUGAAGAUGCAGGUUACCCGCGACAGGACGGAAAGACCCCGUGGAGCUUUACUGUAGCCUGAUAUUGAAAUUCGGCACAGCUUGUACAGGAUAGGUAGGAGCCUUUGAAACGUGAGCGCUAGCUUACGUGGAGGCGCUGGUGGGAUACUACCCUAGCUGUGUUGGCUUUCUAACCCGCACCACUUAUCGUGGUGGGAGACAGUGUCAGGCGGGCAGUUUGACUGGGGCGGUCGCCUCCUAAAAGGUAACGGAGGCGCUCAAAGGUUCCCUCAGAAUGGUUGGAAAUCAUUCAUAGAGUGUAAAGGCAUAAGGGAGCUUGACUGCGAGACCUACAAGUCGAGCAGGGUCGAAAGACGGACUUAGUGAUCCGGUGGUUCCGCAUGGAAGGGCCAUCGCUCAACGGAUAAAAGCUACCCCGGGGAUAACAGGCUUAUCUCCCCCAAGAGUUCACAUCGACGGGGAGGUUUGGCACCUCGAUGUCGGCUCAUCGCAUCCUGGGGCUGUAGUCGGUCCCAAGGGUUGGGCUGUUCGCCCAUUAAAGCGGUACGCGAGCUGGGUUCAGAACGUCGUGAGACAGUUCGGUCCCUAUCCGUCGUGGGCGUAGGAAAUUUGAGAGGAGCUGUCCUUAGUACGAGAGGACCGGGAUGGACAUACCUCUGGUGUACCAGUUGUCGUGCCAACGGCAUAGCUGGGUAGCUAUGUGUGGACGGGAUAAGUGCUGAAAGCAUCUAAGCAUGAAGCCCCCCUCAAGAUGAGAUUUCCCAACUUCGGUUAUAAGAUCCCUCAAAGAUGAUGAGGUUAAUAGGUUCGAGGUGGAAGCAUGGUGACAUGUGGAGCUGACGAAUACUAAUCGAUCGAAGACUUAAUCAA